ensembl:lncRNA
GUAGUGCUCUCGCUGGGUGUAGAGUUCACUGGUGAGUGUGAGUGCAACUGUAGAAAGGGUUUCGCAUGAAGGCAGAGUGGAAAACCCUAACAAAGAAUUGGACAGGAGCUGCUCUGCUGAGAAACCUGGCGAGGUGUUGCAAGACUGAGCGUAAGGAGUGCAGAACACAGUAGUUUGCUACAACUCUCCUCAAUGAUAGAGGCUUCAGUUAUGAAUGCUGUACCACAGAGGAAGCGUGCUUUUAGUUUUCAGCAGAGGUGGCUGAUGUGCUUGUUGGACCUUGAAGGAUUUGCUCCAUGACAGAUGCAAGAUAUGAGUACAAAUGCGAGACAUGCUUUAAAUUCAUAGAGGAAUUCUCAUGGGGAUGCUGGUGAAAAACAGCUCAAGAUAUGUUGGUGUCCCUGACUCGCAUAUCAGAGGGACAGCCUUUCUCAGAGUGAUCUUGCUAGGAUGCAGUAAUUAUCCAGUGCUUCAGGCAGAAUGGAUGAUCCUGUCCUUGUUCUUCCAGUGCCAAUGGAGAAGCCUGCUGUUUGAGACCAGAGCAGCAGAAAUGGUGAAGCCGUUCCAAAAACCAAGGCUAAGGAAUAAGGAUGACUUGUGGUUUGUUUCCUUCUAUGGAGGGGGAAGAGUUGUUCGGUAUGAAUAGAAAUUAAUGGGAGCACUUAAAAGUGCUGAUCUUGAUCCAAGGAUCAUAAAACAUUAUCUGAAGGUGAAUCUAAUACUGGUUCAGAGCUAGCUGAUGAACCAGAUGUAACAUACUCUAUGAGUGAAAGUACUGAUAGCAGCACUAGGUAUGGAGUGAGGUUAAGGAGUGGUGUGUUUGUGUCAGAACACUUAAGCCCCAUAUGCUACUUUCCAUGUGUCCACUUCUGCUCAAAGCAGUUAAGGAAUUGGGAAAACUGGUUUAGGUGAGAAUGGGCAUAACCUCUCUCCACUCAAAAGAUCCUGUUUAGGAUCUAAGAUCUAAAUUGUCCAUCUCUUGCUUUUGUUCCUUCUCAAAUGAUUCACACCUUAUUCCUAUUCUAAUCUGUAUUGAUUUGUGCAUUUUAGUAGAGAAUGGCUUAAAAUAUAUGGGUGGCUGGAAGGAGAACUGCAGCAGAGUGAGUUUGGUUUUACUUGGGCUAUGUGGAGAAGC